UUCUGUUAAUUAAUAAUAGAAAACAAAUUGAAAUGAAAAAGAAAAAUAAAUUGAAAUGAAAAAAGAAAAGGGAUUAGGGUUAGAACCUUGCGUCGUUCCCCCUUCCCUACUCGUCUCUCACUCUCGCGAAUGGCGCACCUGAGCGGCGCCGGAGAAAUUCACCCUCUCCGAUCGGCCAUCCACCAACGACACCACUCAAUAUCUCUCUUCGCACCCUCAAUCUCGGCAAAGAACUCUUCUCCUCUCACGAGCAAGAUGAAGCGGCGGCGGUGAUUCUGCCCUUCUUCUCCGAUCAAACUCUCUAUCGCCGUCACGAAACAACCAUCAAACUCUCUAUCGCCGUCACGAAACAACCGCGAGACAACAAUUCUCUCGUCUCUUCGUCUCCGAUUCAGAUCCUCCGCCUCAUCAUCAUCGAUUGCCUCGCACUCUUCCUCUUCAUGAACGACGCGCGGAGAGUCUCACCGUCUCCGAUCAAAACUCCGGCCAACGCCAUGAACAAGCUCUCGUUUCUGCCCUCUCGUUUCUGUUAGCCUUUUUUCUGACGAUUUUGUUGACUAAUUGAGGUGAUUGAAGGAUUGAGGAUUGGAUAUUGAAGGAGAUGGAAGAAGCUUCGAUGAAUGAGGAUUGAAGGUUGUUGAUGUGUUUGGCUAUGGUGAUUGGAGGUUUGAUUGAAUGAUGAAGGUGGUGAUGGUUUGUGAAUGAUGAAGAUUGAGUUGUGCAGAAUGAUGGAGUGAAGUGAAGUCGUGAAGAAGCUGAUGCAGAUUGAAAAACCAGUGGAGGAUUUGUAGGUUGAUGAGGUGAUGAAGAUUAAAGAAGAUAGGGUUUUUGAGAGUGAAGGUUUAGAGAUUUUGAGGGGAAGAAGAUGGAAAUUGGAGUGUGAAGCGAUGAAGAUGAUGGAGAGUUGAACUUUGAUGAAUGAUGAAGAUGGAAAUGGUGCGGAGAUAGUGAAUUGAGAGUGAAAGUCCAGAAGGAAGAAUGGUGGAGAGAAGGUAAAGAUGGUGGAGAGUUAUGGAGGAAUUGAAGAAAAUGGUUGAAACCUGAAGCACUGCAGAAGAUGAUGAUUAUAUAGAGGGAUGCAUGAUAACACCAUUUCUGUUUUGCUGGUGCAGUAGGAGUUUAUGAGGAUUGAAGAUGGAAAAUGAUGGAUGACGAAAAGAGGUUUGAAGAUGGAACAAGAGAUGGAACCAAGGCUUGGCUACAAGAAUAGAAAUAACUUUUGUAUUCAAAUGGUGUAAUGUGCAAUUGGAUAUGGAUUUAUAAAAGUGUAUUCUUGUAUGUUGACUUUUGAUGAUUUGUCAUGAACAUAAAUGGACUUUGGUGAAA